rnacentral:rRNA from 1 species
UACGUAGGGGGCUAGCGUUGUCCGGAAUCAUUGGGCGUAAAGAGCGCGUAGGCGGCCCGGUAAGUCCACUGUGAAAGUCAAAGGCUCAACCUUUGAAUGUCAGCGGAUACUGCCGGGCUAGAGUCCGGAAGAGGCGAGUGGAACUCCUGGUGUAGCGGUGGAAUGCGCAGAUAUCAGGAAGAACACCAACGGCGAAGGCAGCUCGCUGGGACGGAACUGACGCUCAGGCACGAAAGCGUGGGGAGCAAACAGG